UACGGGGGGGGCAAGCGUUGUUCGGAAUUACUGGGCGUAAAGGGCUCGUAGGCGGCCAACUAAGUCAGACGUGAAAUCCCUCGGCUUAACCGGGGAACUGCGUCUGAUACUGGAUGGCUUGAGAUUGGGAGAGGGAUGCGGAAUUCCAGGUGUAGCGGUGAAAUGCGUAGAUAUCUGGAGGAACACCGGUGGCGAAGGCGGCCUGCUGGGCGGUAGCUGACGCUGAGGCGCGACAGCGUGGGGAGCAAACAGG
rnacentral:rRNA from 1 species